rnacentral:rRNA from 1 species
GACGAACGCUGGCGGCGUGCUUAACACAUGCAAGUCGAACGAUGAAGCCUUUCGGGGUGGAUUAGUGGCGAACGGGUGAGUAACACGUGGGUAAUCUGCCCUGCACUCUGGGAUAAGCCCGGGAAACUGGGUCUAAUACCGGAUAUGACUUUCUUACGCAUGUAGGAAGGUGGAAAGUUCCGGCGGUGCAGGAUGAACCCGCGGCCUAUCAGCUUGUUGGUGGGGUAAUGGCCUACCAAGGCGACGACGGGUAGCCGGCCUGAGAGGGCGACCGGUCACACUGGGACUGAGACACGGCCCAGACUCCUACGGGAGGCAGCAGUGGGGAAUAUUGGACAAUGGGCGCAAGCCUGAUCCAGCCAUGCCGCGUGAGUGAAGAAGGCCUUAGGU